GCGCGGCGGCUGCCCACGCUGGCCGCCGGGCCCCGGCCCGCGCUGGACGAGACGACACACCCCGUGCUGGCCACACGGCGUCCUGCAGCGCUCACAUGUCACUCGUCUCGCAUGUCACAGCUAUGCGCAGGGACCCUGAGCUACCUCGCCACACGACCUGCUGGCACUCUACCCCCGCACAGAAGCCACACACCCGGCCACAAUCCCGUCUGCCUCAUCUCCCAGGAAAUAACCAUGAAGUUCGAGGCUUCAGACCUCCGCAGAGCCUCCAAAGUCUCUCCCCAAAAUCCCCCAAGUACAAGCACUUCUACUGCCCUGGGUAGCUGUGGACUCCCUAGACCCCCAGCGUGGCCACAGUCUGGGACCCCUAUAUUCUGAUGGGCCUCCGAGUCCCCAAAUAGGUUGUCAGCUCCUGCGCCGUCGCUCAAGCACCUGGGAGGGCAGGAGCCGGCAGGGAAGCAGUACUUCAGGGCACCACUGCUGCCUGCCUUCCGGUGUAAAGUGGCAUGGACAUGGUACAAGGCUCUGCAUUCACCAGGGUCCUUCUCUCAUGCUGGGCCCAGAGAAGGCCUGUGGUUAGGUCGGGUAAAUUUCAGAGACACUGUCUCCAAACUGCCCACCACCACAGGGUCCCACAAGGGUCCCACAGCAUGAUAAGGUCUGUUUUUUGGGGUUUUUUGGUUUUUUGGUUUUUGUUUUUUGUUUUUUGUUUUCAGAUACACAGGAUGCCAUCUCUCUAUGCACUGGAGCUUGGCAGCCGUGCCUGCUGAGGCGGAGGGCUGGAGGGAGCACAGAAAGACAUAAGAAACUUGGAAGCUCUAGCGCAAACCCAUCCGUGAACAGAGGAGGAAGCAGGGCCCGGAACUGGCCCCAGUUCAAACAGGGAGGAGGCAGCUGUGGAAUGAGGCCCAGGCCCUGGCCUCCUUCCUCUACCAGGCCCAGGUCCAGGCUCACGGAGAACAGGGUGGAAGCCUUGGGAAACGAGUCUGUGGUUAAUCAUUGUCUCAUCCAGAAGUCUAAGCUGGGCCCAGAGAUGAGGCCCAGGAACCAAGAGGUGCACAGACACCAGAGCCUCUCAUCCACGAUGUUCCCGGCAUCUGCAGCACCAAGGUGGAUGUGUGGGACUGAGCGUCACCUCCAUGACUGUCCUCUGAGGAUUCCGCCUCAUUCCUCUUCUCCCCGUAGCCAUGCCAGGGGGGCAGGGCCGCAGCGCCGAGGCACAGAGUCUACACCAUGUGCCAGGGGCCUGGGGACCCCCUCGGGCUCCUGGCCAGCAGUGCUGUUCUUCCCUGAGCCUCCAUUUCCCCAUCCACAGAAGGCAAGUGGUGAGUAAUCACUGCCACACCUAGACAGAAUGGCGUAGAGAAAGUGCCCCAGCGUCCCACAUUGCCUUCCGGGACGCCUCCUCCUCGGACAAACUCCUUCCCUCCUGAAUUUCUGUAAAAUAGCGUCCCGCCCUGUGGGGACGCUGUGUGCCCCAGACAGGCAGCCCAUCCAUCCGUGAAAUGGGUACAGGAACACCAGUCUGUCCCAAAGUAGUCCCCAUGCCCAAAACCAGGCUUUGUCCCUGAACUCCAGCCCCACCCCACACCCUCACUCAGAGCCUCAGAGCCAGUAUGUAUUCGUCAGGGAGAUCAUUUUGGGUUAGCUUUUGUCAUUGUUUUGAUUCUUUUUCCAGUACUGAGGAUUAAUUAAACCCAGGGCCUUCACACUGUACUACUAUAUCCUCACCACCAGCC
ensembl:lincRNA